rnacentral:tRNA from 1 species
UGGGAUAUAGCUCAAUUGGCAGAGCAGGCGACUGUUAAUCGCCCGGUUACAGGUUCGAGUCCUGUUUUCCCAGC